rnacentral:lncRNA from 1 species
CCCUCACUUCUGAGAAGAGUCCAACUUUCAAGUUCCAGUCAUGUUCUGGUCCUUUGGUUCUGGAUCUUUGGUUCUGUGGUCAUUUUAGGUCAAGACUUCUUCUUUUGCUCCUGCUCUAGCUAUGUAACUUUUGCAUUUUCUGGAACACCAUUCUUAAUCACUCUGUUAAUAAGAGAUGGGGUCAGUUGAACCGGUCCAGGAGGGCCUGCAGUUACACUGUUAACAUUGAUUAUUCCUUGAAUAGUCAAGUUAGGGGAAGUGAUUUCUGCAGUAGGUGACUUGACACUGGUGCACAUAAAAGCUCAUGACAGGGACACAUCUUGCUGGAAGAACAGAGGACCCUUGAAGGAGAGCUGAAUUCUUGCUAAGUUCAUAAAUUAUGUGCCACGUUCCUUUCCAUCACUGCUGUCGUCCUCCAAGGGCUGGACAGAGUACCUGGAUGAAGAAAUUGUGAUAAUAUAUCACAUACACUUGGUUAAACUCCUGUUAUCACUUAGCCUUGACGUAUGAGGUGUCAAAUCCAAGACCCCCUCCCUAUCACUUCAAAUCCCCAUUUGGGCUCCUCCAGGAUGCCAAGCCCCUCAUGUCUUCCAGAAUAAAACAAGGAAAUGAAAAC